rnacentral:rRNA from 1 species
CCCUUAGAUGUCCUGGGCCGCACGCGCGCUACAAUGACUUAUUCAGAAAGUUUUACCUGGUUCGGAAGAAUUCAGGGUAAUCUUUGUAAUACAAGUCGUGUUAGGGAUCGAUCUUUGCAAUUAUAGAUCUUGAACGAGGAAUGCCUAGUAAGUGCAGUUCAUCAGGCUGUGCUGAUUACGUCCCUGCCCUUUGUACACACCGCCCGUCGCACCUACCGAUUGAAUGGUCCGGUGAAAUCUCCGGACUGGCGUGAGUCGGAGCAAUCUGACAAACGCCGGAAAGUUGAUUAAACCUUACCAUUUAGAGGAAGGUGAAGUCGUAACA